GAUGAACGCUGGCGGCGUGCCUAAUACAUGCAAGUCGAGCGAACAGACGAGGAGCUUGCUCCUCUGACGUUAGCGGCGGACGGGUGAGUAACACGUGGAUAACCUACCUAUAAGACUGGGAUAACUUCGGGAAACCGGAGCUAAUACCGGAUAAUAUAUUGAACCGCAUGGUUCAAUAGUGAAAGACGGUUUUGCUGUCACUUAUAGAUGGAUCCGCGCCGCAUUAGCUAGUUGGUAAGGUAACGGCUUACCAAGGCAACGAUGCGUAGCCGACCUGAGAGGGUGAUCGGCCACACUGGAACUGAGACACGGUCCAGACCCCUACGGGAGGCAGCAGUAGGGAAUCUUCCGCAAUGGGCGAAAGCCUGACGGAGCAACGCCGCGUGAGUGAUGAAGGUCUUCGGAUCGUAAAUCUCUGUUAUUAGGGAAGAACAAAUGUGUAAGUAACUAUGCACGUCUUGACGGUACCUAAUCAGAAAGCCACGGCUAACUACGUG
rnacentral:rRNA from 1 species